rnacentral:rRNA from 1 species
UGGGGAAUUUUGGACAAUGGGCGAAAGCCUGAUCCAGCAAUGCCGCGUGUGUGAAGAAGGCCUUCGGGUUGUAAAGCACUUUUGUCCGGAAAGAAAUCCUCUGGGUUAAUACCUCGGGGGGAUGACGGUACCGGAAGAAUAAGCACCGGCUAACUACGUGCCAGCAGCCGCGGUAAUACGUAGGGUGCAAGCGUUAAUCGGAAUUACUGGGCGUAAAGCGUGCGCAGGCGGUUUUGUAAGACGGAUGUGAAAUCCCCGGGCUUAACCUGGGAACUGCAUUCGUGACCGCAAGGCUAGAGUAUGGCAGAGGGGGGUAGAAUUCCACGUGUAGCAGUGAAAUGCGUAGAGAUGUGGAGGAAUACCGAUGGCGAAGGCAGCCCCCUGGGCCAAUACUGACGCUCAUGCUCGAAAGCGUGGGGAGCAAACA